AACGAACGCUGGCGGCGUGGAUAAGACAUGCAAGUCGAACGGAUGUUCUUCGGAACAUUAGUGGCGAACGGGUGAGUAUCACGUGAGAAUCUGCCAAGAAGUUUGGAAUAACUCAUCGAAAGGUGAGCUAAUACCGAAUGUGGAACAUGUUCUAAAGGUGGGGACCUUCGGGCCUGCCGCUUCUUGAUGAGCUCGCGUCCUAUCAGUUAGUUGGUGAGGUAAUGGCUUACCAAGACUAAGACGGGUAACUGGUCUGAGAGGACGAUCAGUCACACUGGAACUGAGACACGGUCCAGACAACUACGGUUGGCAGCAGUCGAGAAUCAUUCACAAUGGGGGAAACCCUGAUGGUGCGACGCCGCGUGGGGGAUGAAGGGCCUAGGUCCGUAAACCCCUGUCAUUUGUGAGAAAUUCACCCGAAUUAAUACCUCGGGUGUUGAUAGUAGCAAAAGAGGAAGGGACGGCUAACUCCG
rnacentral:rRNA from 1 species